GAGAAACUACUAUUAAGUGUAGACCAAACAAAAAAAAACUAACUAAAAUAUCACCAUAUGCCCUCCACCACAAACCUCUCGAAAUGCCUAUAUGUUGAUACAACAACUAUGAAUAUAAAUUACUCAUAUUUAAUUAUACACUCAAAUCAGUACUUUUUUAUUUUUUAAAGAGAGAAAUUUUCUAUUCUUUUUUAUUUUUAUAUAAAGGUUUAGCUCUCUUGUCGUUGCCGCUCAUAGGCCUCGUCUAUCCCUCGGAACAGGAGAAGAUCGACCUUUGCCCUCCCGAUCCUUUGCAGGGUUCCUUUUGCUGAACAACGAAGAGAAGUUCUUUUACUCAAAGGUUUUGGUUCUUCAUUUGGUGGCUAUGGAGAGGAGGUCAACUGGGUUCUUGUUAAUGGUUCUUUUGUUGUCCUUGCAACUUUUGGAAUCUCUUUCCCUUCUUUUUCAUAUCUUUUGAGCAUCUUUUAACAAGAAAAGUCAAAUUUGGGGUUUUUAUUUUUAUUGUGAUAGCAAAGACAAUAAGUUUGCCGGAAGAAGCUCACAAAGCUAAGUCUAAUCCCAAAGGCGCGAGAGAAUUCAUCAAAGAGCCUUCCUCCUCCAUGUCUCAUCGUUGGGAGUUGAUAUUGAUUUUUCUUGUUGGCUUCUCUGGACAUGCAUCCUCCUUAGUGGAUGGCCCCGUUCUCUUUGUGGUUAGUCGACUCUUUUUCCUUUAAUUCCCAACUCCUUUCUUAUCCAGAAGACCUUUCUGGAAAUCAGCUCCUUGACAAUCGAUGUUGUGCAUCUUUAGAGGCGGCACUGGUGCUAGUUUGCUUGGAUUGUUGGGUCAAGGUAGGUGGAUUCCUUGCAAGUUCCAAUUUAGUUUUAGUUUUGGAUCGUGGACCUCUGUGCUUUGGGGUUGGGUUGGCCUCUUUGUAAUGAGUUGCACUUUUUAGAUACUUUAAGCUAGGUCUAUGAUAUUUGCUCAUUGCCUUUAAGACUUAAUGAAAUAUUAUCUUUGUAAAAAAAAAAAUUCGCUCGUUAGGAUGGGCAUUCAAUCGAAAUCGAGUUAAAGAGUUUUACUUAAAUUAAAUCGAACUAAAUAAGAGAAAAAAAAAAUCAAAUCAAUUGAAUCCAUCUAAUUUAGUUAGAUUCAUUCAUUUUCAGUCUUUUCAAAGAACAGCUAACACAAAAUUUAAACACAAUUUCAAAGCUCAACGGCACAGUUAUAUGAUUUUCUCAAUAGUUAAUACUCCUGAGAAUAAAAAAUAGAAGCCUAGAACUCCUAAGAAUAAAAAAUAGUUACCUUCUUGGCUUCUAUAGUUAAUUCAACACUCAACAGCACACAACACAGUAGAAGAGUGGAUCUGCAGAUCUUCAACAGCGAAUCGACGACAGAGCUACAGGACUGGAGGCGCGAGAGCUGACAAGGAAAGCAAAGCAAUGGAGUCCACUUGCCUCUUGGUCUCGGAGACUGGUCGACAGAGUGGAAGCACGAUCUGAGAUGGUGAGAGGCUGAUUGAGAGGACGGAGAGGACAGAGGAAUCACACGGUCGCGCGUAUAUGAACAGCAACGAGCCGACUAUGCAUGGAGACUAGAGAGCGACGUCGACGAUGCGUGGAGAGACUGGAGAGUGACGAUGCGAGCAAUGCCGGCGGCCCGACGGUGCAUGAAGACAUUGGAGAGUGACAAUGUGUGGAUGUGGAGUCACUAGAGAGUGGCAGAGGACUCGCGACGCCGACAGCCCGAUGAUAUGUGGAGAGGAUACUAGACUGAAGGAGAGUGGAGAGUGAGAUGCGUGCGACUGUGUGGAGAGUGGAGACAGACUAGAGGAAAGAGUGAAAGGACGUCAAUGGAUGGGAAUUGAAACUCUUUUAGAUUAGGGAACUGUUAAACGAUACAGUAUUAAUUUUAUUCGAUUUGGGGUGGUCCAAC